rnacentral:rRNA from 1 species
UACAGAGGUCUCAAGCGUUGUUCGGAUUCAUCGGGCGUAAAGGGUGCGUAGGUGGCGCGGUAAGUCGGGUGUGAAAUUUCGGAGCUUAACUCCGAAACUGCAUUCGAUACUGCCGAGCUUGAGGACUGGAGAGGAGACUGGAAUUUACGGUGUAGCAGUGAAAUGCGUAGAUAUCGUAAGGAAGACCAGUGGCGAAGGCGGGUCUCUGGACAGUUCCUGACACUGAGGCACGAAGGCCAGGGGAGCAAACGGG